rnacentral:misc_RNA from 1 species
AUGGGUAGGCUUCGGCCUUAAUCCCUCACCAUUGUGAACGAAGCUUUAGUAGCAGUUGCUUCGGCGGGUAGGUAAUACCAUGCUCCUUACGGGGUGCCCGCCGGAGGCAAGCAAACUCUUGUUAUUUAUUGUUAUCUCUGAGUAAACUUUUAAUAAGUCA